ACGGGUCGACUCCAGAUGGUUCAGCAUGAUAGAAGACGCAAGGCUCACGGCGCAACAUAAAAAUUCUAGCAUGCUGUCAUUAAGCGACACAUGCUUGCAGGCCCAUUUCCUGAAACAAGGGACUCUGGACAUUGUGUUGACUCUGUGAUAGCACAAACUCUGGAACAGCAACAGCAAAACUGACCGUUUCCUGCCAAACUGAAGUGAAAUGAUAACUGGCGACUGUGUCAGAGCCCUCCUCCUGAGCUACCACUGGCCAAGAAAUGUCAUAUUGUUGACAAGCUUUGCUUUUGACCUUGAAAAACUUGUUGUAAAGGUCAAAGGUCAGAUGAAGACCCACCCUGGAAAUUUUCUCGAAAAUGGCUGCUGCUUGAUUGGAACACAGCAGGCUGCGGAAAUGAGUCACUCGUUGAAAGGGAGCUUCACUUACCCUCGGGAUCCUCCCAUAAUCAGUAUUAUCCCGUAAAGAAAACACCUUCAGUGGAACAGUGCAAUCAAAGAGCUGUGCAGCCAUGUUAACUGCUUCCUGUAUUUGGCAAAACAAAAGAAAGCAGGUUACACAUUCUUUUGAGAAAUCCUGUGGUCAGUUUGUUCCCCUUUAGCUACUCAUGUAAACUGUUCAAGGGUGAAGUAAAAACAGAAGAACAUACAUGAGCAGCUCUUGGGUCUCAGACCAGUUUGCUAAUCAGACAGCUCAGCUGUAUUCAGGCUGAGCUGGUCUCAUUUUCAUCUGUGUUUUGGUUGUAGAAUGAGAAACUUUAAUAAGUAUUAAAACUUAGGUUCAGUCAUUUUGUUUAAAAUAGGUCCAUGUAUUCCUAUGUCAGAGGAGACUCAUAAAUUAGAACUUUUUUU